rnacentral:rRNA from 1 species
CCUACGGGUGGCAGCAGUGAGGAAUCUUGGUCAAUGGGCGCAAGCCUGAACCAGCCAAGUAGCGUGCAGGAUGACAGCCCUACGGGUUGUAAACUGCUUUUAUGCGGGAAUAAAAUGAGACACGUGUGCCGUUUUGUAGGUACUUUAUGAAUAAGGAUCGGCUAACUCCGUGCCAGCAGACGCGGUAAUACGGAGGGUCCGAGCGUUAUCCGGAUUUAUUGGUUUUAAAGGGAGCGUAGAGGGGUUGUUAAGUCCGUUGUGAAAGGCGGGGGCUCAACCGUAAGAGUGCAAGUGAUACUGGCAGGCUUGAGUACAGGAGAGGUAGGCGGAAUUCGUGGUGUAGCGGUGAAAUGCUUAGAUAUCGAGAAGAACUCCGAUUGCGAAGGCAGCUUACUGCACUGCAACUGACGCUGAUGCUCGAAGGUGAGGGUAUCGAACAGGAUUAGAUACCCUAGUAGUC